GGAGAAGAAGAAGCAACAGCUUCUUCAUAAUACCCCUCAAAUACUAUUCACUCCAGGCAGCUUGAAAUCUGAUAACUUUCGCCGGAGCUCCCUGAAUGUCCGUUUGAGCUCAAACUUGACAGUCAUCUUCGGUUUUACGUACUGAGCAAGAAUAUAUUUUAAGUUUUCAGUUUCGACCCCAUUUGGUCACCGAAAACUGUGCCGAACUGUAAUCUUUAUCAGAUAACUCUCGGAUUUUAUUUCUCACUCUACGGAUGUCAGAAAAAUAUGAAACUUUAAAUCUAGCCUCAUAAAAAUAUUUCUGACUUAUUCUCCAAUUUUCAUAAUUUUCUGUGACUGUAUAUUUUCUGCUAAUUUAUUUGUCCCGUUUCCAACAGAAAAUUCUAGAUCUUCUGUUUUCAUUCCGAUUUCAGUACAAGUCACUUCUGACUUAUGUUUUACUUUUAUAAAUCCAAUAAAAAUAGUUUCUCACACUAUUUUUAUUUACUUUUAUUUUUAUACCAAAAUCUGGUAUGUUACAUUCUCCACCCCUUAAAAGAAUUUCGUCCGCGAAAUUCAAACUACGCUUCGAUUCAGCUCCGCGAGCAAUUGAGGGUACCAACUCAUUCUCCCACUCCAAAGCGGCUUUACACAAUCAUGGUUCCAGAAGCGGCUCAUACUGAAGGAUGUGGGUUUAACCCUAAACGCAUUUGCAAGGUGUGAUACAACAGUGCAUCACGGGUCUUGCAAGUCAUAGUGGCAGCGUAAGUCGGUACUCGACGACUCUACGCGCUCCAACACCACUCGUCAUUCGGCACACAAAGAACUCUUCUUUGCACUUACCUUCCCUUCAGGGAAUACAUUCUGAUUCGAUCACCGACAUUGCUUAGGAGCAAUAUCACCGCUGCAUCGUUCCGUCGCGAGUGCUCUAAUUUCGCACUGACCCUUAACUUUAACGCGAGAUGGCCCACUUCGGCACAUCUUAAGUUUUAGUUCGUUUACGAGCAUAGUCUCCAACAUCACGUGGCCUUCUACUAGCUCAAGGUCUCACCAAGAGCACUUCAUCUUCUGAUACCAUAUGCUACGGUCAACAUCGAACUAUUUCCGCAACGAGCUAGCACGAGCGCUUCGUUCGUGAAUUCGAGUCAAACCCCUCGAUAAGGCUAUCCGCCAAAUUGCUCUCUUCGGUCUCCACAGGUGGACCAAAGGCCACCAAUCCUAUGUAGGCCUACCGCCUAAACCUGUCUCAACACGCAGCGUCUCUCGUUAGCAAAUGCAGACCCAAUCAUCAUCGGGCGAAAUUCUCACUUGGGAAUUCGCACACACUCCAACCAGGAGCAACUAAGAUCCCAAACCACGGCAAGCCCUCGGGUUGGGUCACAACCAUACUCGGUGUACCAUCGGUCACACAAUCUAUCACGUGGCAUUCCACGCUCCCGGGUCUAAGCUCGGACUACCGUCCUGACCAGAACUCUGCACUACCCGUAGGUACCGGGUCACUGUCACUCACAGCUGACUGCGUCUGCGCAAUGGGCCCAGGCUCCACAGUCCACAAAUGGUCUAGGCACGGGUCGUCCCCAAGCACUACCCGCCGUCGUCGUCCUACACAACAUGCUCUACCGAGUCACACGUAUCACUACCGGCUACUAUACACCUAAUGCGAGUCACCAAUCCCACGAGUGAUCCUGUAACAUACCGAACUUCUAAAAUCAUGAAGUCACGGUGUACAUUUAAAUAGUUCCGGUGAGGUUGCGGUGGAAUGUAACAUACGGGAUUUUAAAUACAAAAGUAAAAAUAAAUAAAAAUAGUAUGAGAUACUAUUUUAUUGGAUUUAGAGAAGUGAAAUAUAGGUUGGGAAUGACCUAUGCUGAAAUCAGAGAGAAAACAGAAAAUUUAGAAUUUUCUGUGAGAAACGGGGCAGAUAAAUUAGCAGAGAAUGCACAGUGUCAGAAAAUUAUGAAAAUUGGCGGAGAUGUCAGAAAUAUUUUUAUGAGGCUAGAUUUAAAGUUUCAUAUCAUUUUGACACCCGUAGAGAGAGAAAUAAAAUCCGAAAGCUAUCUGAUAAAGAUUGUAGUUCGGUUCAGUUUUUAGUGACUAAACGGGGUCGAAACUGAAAACUUAAGAUAUAUUCUUGCUCAGUACGUUAAACUGAGCCUGCCUGUCAAAUUUGAGCGAAAAUGGACAUCCGGAAGGGCUCCAACGAAAUUUAUCAGAUUUCAAGUUGCCCGUAGUGAAUAGUGUAUAGUUGAGGGGCAAAAUGGUAAAAAGGGUUUUAAACCCCUUUUCUUCUUCUUCCUCCCAGCCGUGCUCACCCACGACACACACACCCACACACGUAUGGAAGGGAGAGAGAGAAACUCUCCUUUCUCUCUCUAAAUCUCUCCCAAAAUGGAUGGAUUUGGUGGAGAUUGAAGCUUGGAGGUGAAUCGCCUUCAUCUUCUUCAUCUUCUCCACCUUGAGGGCAAGCUUGAGAGGUAAGCUUUUGCUACCCUUUAAUGGUAGAUCCUUAAUGGUUGGUUUAAAUACCUUAGAAAUGGAUUUAGAGGAAUCCUAGCAUGCUAUCUAGAUGAAUGAUGCUUGAUUCAUGAAGGAAUUUGGUGGAUUUUUAUCUAGUUGUAAAUCUAGGGUUCAAAAUACUAUUUUGGUAAAUAUGAGGGUUUGAUCUCAUUUGACCCUUCGUAAACCUAAUUGAUAGGUAAACGAACGCGUUGGCGAAGACGGUUCGGCGAUUCGUCAAGCCGGUACGAAGUUAUUAAAGGAAUGGACGUUUAGGCUUUGUUUUCGCCUGGAGGGCCGAGGCGACAUCGUAAAAUCCUGGAAACGGAUUUGAAGCACCGUAAUAGCAAAACGAAGACCCUUUUUGCCCGAGGCUGCGAAGCGAUGCGCGGUUGGUGCGUAAUUGCAAGUUCCGACGGAACCGGGCACCGGAUGCUGGGGGAGGCCGAUUGUAAGUGUCGACAAGCAAUCGGAAUGCACUAACAGGUGGGUUGUGCUUACCGAAGCGACUAGGUCGCCUUUAUGUCUAAGCGAAUUAAGAAUCCUUGUUGAUGCAUAUAAAUGUAAAUGAUGCAUGUAGCUAAUGCUAAGUGAUGUAAUGUAGAAAUGCUAACUAGAAUGUAUAAUGAGCGAGUUAAAUAAUGCAUGUAAAUGUAAAUGUAAAUGCUAACUAGAAAUGCAUAAUGAGCAAGUUACAUAAUGCUAGAUAAUGUAUGUAAUAGUAUGAUGCAAAUGCUAAGUAGAUGCAUAUAAAUGAUAUGUGAGAUUAUAAACGCAUGAUUAGCAUUGUGAGAUUAUAAAUACAUGCUUAGCAUUGCGAGAUUAUAUAUGCAUAUGAACUUGGUUGAUAACUCUAGCUUGAUUAGAGAGAUAAUGUUGGAAAAUAGAAUUUGUAUAACUAUAAUACUCGCUAUGGACAAUUAGCAUGUGAACUAGACCGAGUGGUAUCUAACCUAGUGCUAAUAAACAUAGGUCGGACAUAGUGAUGUUGAACCUAGUGUUAGUGAACAUAGGUUGAACUAGUAAACCUAGAGUUUAUAACCUAGGUUGUGAUAUAGUAAACCUAGAGUGGCUUGAACCUAGGUUGUUGUGUAUAAUGGUAGCAACCACUAGAUUGUAUUAGGUCGACAGCAUAGGGUUGGUUAUGGACCCUCGACCUGUGUAAGUGGAUUCCGGAAUCCCAGGAUCUUUGAUGACCUUGGUAUCAAGGCUAGGGCGUGUGCGACGACUUCGCCGCCGAGGUCGAUACCAAGGAUGGAUUGGGGGUGAAUGCGCAGAGAUUACCGCCCGGGGCUUGAACCAUUGUCGUGGCGUGUGCAACGAUUUCGCCGCUCGAUGGUUAAGCCAGUUUGUGGAUUAUGCCGCCAGAUCGACUCGAGCCAUUGUUGGGUGAGGUGCGAUUCGUUCGCCGCCAGAUGGCCAAGUCAAGGGACUUGAACCAGUGUUCGGCGUGUGCGACGACUUCGGCGCCAGCUGGUUAAGUCACAUAGUGCAGCCAGUGCGCGGACUAUCAGCGGAUGAUUGACUCGAGGCCGAGUCGGGUGGUUAGCUUGAUUAGGUUAAUAGAAACCUUAUAAGCUAGUGAUAAAGGUAAGAGCUAAGGUAAUAGAGACCUUAGAGGCAAUGUGAACUUGAGUUGUGAACUAAGGUAGUAGAACCUUAGAUGCUAAAUGACAUGAGCUAAAGUUAGUAGAGUUGAGUGUAGAAUCAAUAGAUCUACUGAAUGGUUGCAUAAUUGCAUAGAACUGCCUGAUAUACAUAUUGCAUAUUGCGAGGCAUGUUAUCUGUUAGUUGCAUAAUAAACUGAUGAUUUAUAUAUCUAUAGAUGUUUUUGGACUAACAUGAUUGCAGUACCUCCUUGGACCUUUUGGUCGAGCUUUUUCCUUGGGUGGCCGUACCCACUGGGAACCAUGGAGUUGGUUCUCACCCCACGUUGUUUUGGGGUGUUACAGGUUCGUACGUGAGCGGCGCGGCGGCGCGAGGAAAGGGCAUAGCUCCGUAGAUAGCGCCCUACCCCAGAGACCAGAGCUAGCAGUACCCCGUCGACAUAGCUUAGGGGUUAAGGAAAUAAAAAGAACACAAUGGAACAUAAUGUAUCAAAUUUGUAAUAAGUAAAGGUUGUAAUAACUUAGUUUGCAUUUGGAUAAAAAGAAUAGUAAAUGUGAUGUAAAAUGUAUGCAAUGUGAAUGUUGUAAUAAUAUAGGAUGUGUUUAUGUUGUUUGAUACCUUCCAUUAUGCAAUCUUGAUUGAUAUCAGUUCUUGAUUGGAACCUUCGUAUUGUAUUGAUUGCGUUGCCUUGAACGUACAGGGGAGACUCUGUCUGCAGUACAGGGGAAACCCUGUCUCAGUUCUCCACCCCUUAAAGAAUUUCGUCCGCGAACAUUCAAACCUACGCUUCGAUUCAGCUCCGCGA
rnacentral:lncRNA from 1 species